rnacentral:lncRNA from 1 species
UAUUUCCAUAGGCAGCUAAGAGAUUACCACCUUGUAAAAGAAAGGAAGAAACCGCCCCACCUUUGAGUUAUCCGUCCCAGAAAGAGAACACUGGGGUCGGGGGUUGGGGGGUGGCCUCUAGAUGACCAGUCCUCAAGGGCUAGGCUCUGUUCUUGUAAAUUUAAGGAAAUUCACUCAGGGUCCCAGGGGACUGUGUCUUGAACUCUAUGAACCUAUUCUGCUUCCUUCUCUCCUCCUCAACGCCAUCUCACAAAAACGCAGACAAAAUAAGCAAAACCCAGCUCGUCAUCAUCCCAAACUAUUUUGAGUCACCAUAAUUUACAACUUUGCCUAUUAAAAGAGAUAAAGAGACAGAGGAAGACACCUGUCACCAGAAAACCAACUGCUGCCUUUAAGGUUCUAUUAAAAAACAACACUUUCUGUCUUCUCAGGAUAAAUCCAAAAUUUGGAAAUGUGACCAUGGUAACUAUUAUAUAUUAAGGUAGAUAAUGUAUAUUAAAAUAAUCUGGUUUCAAACUUUAAAAAGUCUUAAACACUUCAGCAUUUGCAUUCAUUCAAGUCGUUCAUUUAUUCAAUAUUUGUUAUACAAGUAUUUGAGCAUCUUUUAUGUGCCAGAAAUGGUCCCAGACAGUGGGAUACAACAGUGAACAAAGCAGGCAAGUACAUUCCUUGUCCUCAUGGAGUUACCAUUCUGGCUGGAGAGGCGGAAAAUAAAGAAGUAAAUAGCUAUAUACAUUUAGAUAGUGACAGGAGCUAUGAAAUAAAUGGCAGCAUAAGGAGGAAGGAGGAAGCUCUCUUAGGGCCAGCAAGAAAGGCCCCUGUGAGGAGGUGACCAAACCCAAUAAACGGAGAGGGCUAGUCCCUGGGAGAUUGGGGACAAGGCAGGGAGGCAGGGAAUGGCAGAGGACAGAGAGGCUGGACUGGGGUGAGGAGAACGGAGUGGUGAGAGAAGGUUAGAGAAACAAGAAGGGCCAGACAAGUGACCUCACAGGUCAGGGGAUGGCAAACUAUGGCCCAGAGGCCAUAUCUGGCCUGCUGCUUGUCUUUGUAUAGACCAUGAGCUAAGGUUGAGUUUUACAUUUUUAAGUCGUUGAGAAAAAAUUGAAAGAAAAGUAAUAAUUCGUGACAAGUUUUCACAUGAAAAUUCACGAAAU